UAUAGAUCCAGACUCCUGUGCCUGACCACUGCCCAUGGCCAACUCUCUGCUGACGACCAGACUUGACUACACAAGUUGUUGGCUUCCAUUACCAUGGCAGAGAUGGCAGACGUGUCUGAGGUGGUAUAGAGUACUGAAGCAAGGCUGUCUUGAAGAAGAGGAGACAAUUCACAAUUCUACCACUUUUGUUGACCUCUUCUUCUCCCCCCACUUAUUGCUGUAGAGGCUACCUGAGCUCAUUGUCCCUGGAGAUGGACCAAAUAGAAGAAUAAGCAGUGCCUGUGUG